ACCAUAGCUAAUUGUGAGAAUUAUUAAUUUUAUUGUGCCUUUUUCGGUUGCCCUUCUUUAAAUGCUCUCUCUCUCUCUCUCUCUCGUUUUGAAGAAGAACAUUAAAUUAAACCACAGUGAAGAAGUAACUAAACCAAACUGCGAAACGCUGAACAUUUGAAGCAAAUUAAAAAAGAAGAAAUCAUCGUUGUUGUGGACAUUGUGUUUGUUUCCUAAGAAGAAUGGAAACUAUGUGUUUAAAAUCUGGGAUAGUUCCCACGAUCUCUAUUAGUGGGUCGCUGGACGCACGUGCCAAUCCUUCCCAGGUGAGCACGGUGGGGCGCUCCGCAUCGGAUAAACCGCCGCAGAGGUCGGUGUUUUCGAGAUUUUCCUUUUGGUACCCUUUGGAAUCUCUCUGGCCUCGGGGGAACAACAGCAGGUACAAGGGGUUGGCCCUCGACGACGCCGUUUUGUCGGACAACAACGCCGAAGCGAAGGCCGUUGGAGAUGACGGAACGGAACGGCAGACCGGAAACUGGGUUUUGAAGAUUCUGCAUGUGAAGUCCCUGUGGGAGGGGAAACAGCGCGAUGAAGAGGAGGGAUCGGUUCGUGAUCAAACUCAAACCAAUUACGAGGAGGAGGAGGAGGUGUGUGAAUGUGAUGCUUGCGAUGAAGUAGAGGAGGCUCAAUUCGAUAGAGGCUCGUUUUCGAGAAUGCUUCGGAGGGUAUCGUUAGCCGAAUCUAGAUUGUACGCUCAGAUGUCACACUUGGGGAACUUGGCUUACGAUAUACCUAGAAUCAAACCAGGGAAGCUCUUGAAACAUUAUGGUCUGCGCUUUGUAACUUCAUCAAUAGAGAAGAAGGAAUUGGCAGUGGCAGCAACAGCUGAAAAGGAUCCCCAGAAAGUUCAAACUGAUGAGAAGGUAGACGAAAAAGAAGAGAGAAAGGAUCCUAAGAACGGUGAAUACAAGAUAAGUGCAACUGCUGCUUAUAAUAUUGCCGCCUCUGCUGCCACUUAUCUGCAUUCUCAGACUAGAAGCAUAUUUCCAUUGAAAUCCUCAAAUGCUGUGGCUGGUGAAGGUUCACUUGCAGGGAACAAUGAAAGCCUUGACAGUGUUAACAUGCUAAACACAGAGGUGGCAUCUUUGAUGGCAACUACUGAUUCGGUGACAGCAGUGGUUGCAGCAAAGGAGGAAGUAAAGCAAGCUGUUGCAGAUGAUCUGAACUCUUCACAUUCAACACCCUGUGAAUGGUUUGUCUGUGAUAAUGACCAGAGUGGUACAAGAUUUUUUGUUAUUCAGGGUUCUGAGACAUUGGCUUCCUGGCAAGCAAACCUACUUUUUGAGCCGAUUAAAUUUGAGGGUUUAGAUGUACUUGUGCACAGAGGUAUAUACGAGGCUGCUAAAGGGAUAUAUCAACAGAUGUUGCCAGAGGUACAUGCUCACCUAAAAUCUCGAGGCUCUCGUGCUACUUUUCGGUUCACUGGGCAUUCCCUUGGUGGAAGCUUGGCAUUACUUGUGAAUCUCAUGCUGUUGAUAAGGCAUGAAGUGCCGAUCUCCUCUCUACUUCCUGUGAUAACAUUUGGUUCCCCAUCCAUCAUGUGUGGAGGUGAUAGUCUGCUAGAAAAGUUAGGUUUGCCUAAGAGCCAUGUUCAAGCAAUUACAAUGCACAGAGACAUAGUACCACGAGCAUUUUCUUGCAAUUACCCUAAUCAUGUUGCAGAACUAUUGAAAGCUGUCAAUGGGAACUUCCGUAGUCAUCCUUGUCUCAAUAAACAGAAGCUACUAUAUGCACCAAUGGGUAAUCUGCUGAUUCUGCAGCCUGAUGAGAAGUUUUCACCAAGCCAUCAUCUCCUGCCAUCAGGCACUCCGAGCUGCUCAGAUGGUCUUCUUGAACUCACCUCAUCCACUUGAGAUAUUAAGUGACCGAUCUGCUUAUGGAUCUGGAGGAAGUGUACAAAGAGAUCAUGACAUGAAUUCCUACUUAAAAUCUGUGAGAACUGUGAUCCGCCAAGAACUUAACCAGAUCCGUAAAGCCAAGAGAGAGCAACGGCGCAAGGUGUGGUGGCCUCUUUUAUUACCUCGUGGAGUUGAUACCAGCAUUGUUGCUGGGAGGUCCAUGAUAUCAAUCAAUGUGGGUCAACGCCAGUCACCCUUCUCCGGCGUGAUACAAACAGGGAGAGAAUCCCUGAAAAGGUUCAGUAGGGUUGUUACAUCCCAACAUAUGCAUUUGUUUGUGUUGCUUUUGUUCCCUGCUCGGUUGUUACUCUUGGGAACAUAUAGCGUAAUUAACCUCAAAUGAGUAUAUAAGAUGAUUCAUUAUUAAGCAUGAGGGACAAUUGUAUAGGGCGAGGGCACAUGCUUUGUAGGACAUUACACAUUUAGACGAUUCUUUAUUCAUUGAUUUCAAAAUUGAAAUGUUGCGUUCUUACAAGUACUUCUUGUAGAGGAAUAUUGCCCAAAUGUUAAUUAAUAUUUAAAAAUUUAAUUGUUUUUUCUUUCAA